rnacentral:rRNA from 1 species
GUCUUUUUGAAUAUAAUUUAAAGUCUGACCUGCCCAAUGAUUAAAUUUAAUGGCCGCAGUAUUUUGACUGUGCAAAGGUAGCAUAAUCAUUAGUUUUUUAAUUGAAAGCUGGUAUGAAUGGUUUGAUAAGAAAAAAGCUGUCUCAUUUUUAAUAUUAUAGAAUUUUAUUUUUAAGUUAAAAAGCUUAAAUUUUUUAAAAAGACGAGAAGACCCUAUAGAGUUUAAUUUAUAAAGAUAUUUUAAAUUUUAAGUUUUAAAUUUUUUUAAUAUUAGUUUAAAUUUUAUUGGGGUGAUAAAAAAAUUUAAUAAACUUUUUUUAAUAUAAAUAUUUAUUAAUAAAUAAUUGAUCUUAAUUUUUAGAUUAAAAGAAAAAAUUACCUUAGGGAUAACAGCGUAAUUUUUUUAAAGAGUUCAAAUCGAAAAAAAAGAUUGCGACCUCGAUGUUGGAUUAAAAUUAAAGUUUGGUGUAGAAGCUAAAAUUUUUAGGUCUGUUCGACCUUUAAAAUUUUACA